AACUGGUUUCCUCCUGCUGUGGGCUGCAUGUGACCUGCCCUUACUUGUUGCGCCGCCGCUGUUCCUGCUGCAGGGGGGCACCGUGCGUUAGAACUACAGCGCCGCGAGUAUAAGCGUAAGCAGCCAUCACAAAGCUACCUCAGAGUCCAAAUUUGAACAGCAAAGUAAAUAUCAAAGACCCCAGCUGCCAAUCACCUAUUGUGCUACAAUGCUCAACCCAGUGAGUAAUGGUAAGAAUUACCCUGCUGGUUCUCUUAAGGCUGUAGAAUCUGCACAACACAUUCUUUGUAUAUCCAGAUGGAUUUUAUGGAUGAGAAUGAAGAGGACCUUUUCUCAUCUAAAUGUGGCUGUGUAGCAGGCCGGUGUGGCUCCCCUCCUCCCCAGGAAGGGUUGAGCCGCGCCGGACACCGGAAGGGGCGGGGCUACAGAGCAGUGAGCCCGCCCCUCAGAGGGUCAGGCGGCGACCCGGAAGCAUAAAAGCCGGCCAUUGGAGCUCAGUCGGAGCCCAGCCACCGUCGGGA